UACGAAGGGGGGCUAGCGUUGCUCGGAAUCACUGGGCGUAAAGCGCACGUAGGCGGACUCUUAAGUCGGUGGUGAAAUCCUGGAGCUCAACUCCAGAACUGCCUCCGAUACUGGGAGCCUUCGAGUCCGGAAGAGGAGAGUGGAAUUCCUGGUGUAGCGGUGAAAUGCGCAGAUAUCAGGAAGAACACCUAUGGCGAAGGCAGCUCUCUGGGACGGUACUGACGCUGAGACGCGAAAGCGUGGGGAGCGAACAGG
rnacentral:rRNA from 1 species